UAAAGGUGUUGGUUUUACGUGUUUUGAGUCCAUGGAGGAGGGAAAAGCAUUAUAGGUGCCGGUUUUAGCUAUUUCGGCACCUAUAGUGCUGAUCUAUAUGAGGUUUUUUUUACUAGUGACUCCUCCAGGCUGCUCGCUUCCUCGACGUACGUAUCAUGAAAAGCGGCAAAUGCCGACGCCAACCAACGAGAAGUCUUGAUGGCUGACAUUAAGUCAUGAAAAGCAUCCUCUUCGCCUCCCUCACCAGAAACCAUGAUCAUCGAUCACCAGAAACCGACGACCCAAUAAAGGCUUAUAUCUCACCCAUCCUUUUUUUUAGAAAAUGAUAUCUCACUCAUCCUGUAGUUCAAUCUAUUCACUUCUCCAUCCCUUCCGAUUCCUGGCCACUGGCGUCGUCAUUGUUGCCGGACACAAGUUUGUCAGGGAGCAUAUUUGAUGAUUUCCCUACGUUUUUCCCAGUAUUUCUUUGCAUUCAUCUCAAGUUUGGAUUACAUGGUGUUCAUGUAGGAGGAUUUCGUGCUCAAGCAGCGUGCUAACCAGCCCUUUGAUUCAGUAAAGCACUGCUGACCGUUUGUCAAAAUGACGAUUAUCUGCAUUACGUUGGUUUGUUCGAUUGAUCCUUCCUAAUUACUCCAGCAAGUUUGUUGAGGAAAAAAACCAUGUUAGUUUUCCGACGUCAGUUCAACACUAAUUUAUUUUUAUAUCGGGAUUGACUAAUGUUGAUCAGGUGAUCUUUGCUCCCUGUUGUGAUUGGUUUGUCCAGGUCUUCAGCUUAGGCCAUUAGGAUUUACACUAGCUCAUGCAAUUCCCUGUGGAUAUCUGUUUAUGUUGUAAGAUAAAUUCCCAUCUCAAGUAUCUUUCUUUUGUCAAAUUACUAUUUAUUUGUUUGACUUUACACCUAUGCUAUAUAUGCCUGAACUUCUGAAAAGCUAGAUUCUUUAAUGUUUCAAUGGGCACUAUUUCUGAUGCAAUGGUUUAUUUUCCACGUACCCUUCAAGCUUUUAAUGUACUUUGGUAUGUUUCUUUAAUCCUGAAUAGGAAGAGUUUCAAUAUGCUCUCAUUGUAUAAGACUAUUUUUUUCUUAUAUGGAAGAACGAUUGUUUGGGUUCAUCUUGCAUGACCUAGCUGAGAUAUGCAAUUACCAGAUUUGCUCAGCAGUCAACAUGAGUUCGCUCAAUGUUAACGUGGCAACACGCAAUUGGUUCCAUGAAGCUCAUUCACAAUAAGGAUUCAGAAAGCACUUGAAGUUUUUUUUUACUUUCUUACUUUUUUACAACAAACCAAACUAAGAACAGUUGUCCUUUGCCUUUUUUGUUUGAAACCACCCAUAUGGGCAGUAUGGCAAAUACUUUACAGUAAGUCUUCCAGGAGUUGGUUUGCAUAAUCUCUUAGAAAACAUAGCCCCCUCCUUGCUUGAGCUGUUUCUUUUUUUCAUUUGGCAAGCUUAUGGUAUGUACAACAUUUUUAUUUUCAUAGCUCUUUUGUGAAAAGGAUCUUAUUAAUCUGCGCAACGGUGCAAAUGUUUUUUUACGAUAAAGGAAUUUUAUAUCCCAGACUAUUACAACAAGAUAGUAAUACACUUAAUCUAA